CCUAUAUUUAGGAUUAUUUCCUUAGGCCAGAUUCCCAGAAAUGGAAUUACUGGGACAAAGGGCAAGAGCAUGUUUUACAUUGUUGCCAAAUUGCUCUCAUUAAAUGGAUAUUAAAGGGAACCGGGGAGCCCUGGCCAAGGCUGAGGGGCUUUUGUCCUGGGCCACUAGCUUGACAGGGCCAUGUGAGAAGCAACGAGCGAACCCAGGGACAGAUAUGGGGCUAGUUUUGAGGGGUCCUGAAUUUGCCAGACCAGGAAGAGAUACUUCGCCUCCGCCUGUUUCCAGGUAAGCCCCCUGUCCGGUGGCACGCAAUGCUGGAUCUGGGCUGGAAAAAGAAGGGCCUAGAGGGACCUCUGAGGGUCCCACGUGAACCCCCAGAGAUCUUCAGAACUGGCAUUCCAAACCAGAUACCGCCUCAGACCUGCUCCCAGAGUAGGUGGGGAAUGGGGUCAGCUGACCCCCCAAGAAAGAGCCCCCGUCAGGCCCGCCCCUGAUGCUGGCAGAAGGCCCCUAGCUUUCGCCUUCUCUUGCCUUUCUGGGGAGCCAGCUCCCUCCUGCCCAAACCUGCCUGCUGGUUUCCAUGGGGAUUCCUCUCAAAGAGAAUAUGACUCAUGACGUCCAGGCUGACUCAAAACAUGUCCCAGGGAGGGGAGGGGAGGAGCUCCCGGACCCCAAAAGAAGAAGCCAGUCUGGAAAAUCCUCCCAUGAGCUUGUUCCCGAGGCCAGAGAAACCCUGCCCAGUCGGGGAUGGGGCUGAAAACGGCAGGCUGUGUGUCACGGGGCAUGUGUGGCCCUAACAUCUGGCUGGAAGUGCUGGACUGGAGACAAGUCCCCUCUCUUCCUACAUGGAAGUGGCUUCAGUCAUCACACAGGGGACACCUAUGCUGCACAGUCGGGUUCCACGUGGCACCACCCCACCGUAAGGAAGGAUCUGCUGGCCCCGCACACACACCCUGGGGCGCCAAAGGAGAAACAAGAAGUUGGAUGGCAGCCCUGCUUAGACAGUCAACAGCAACAACAACAACAACAACAGUACCAGUGAUGAGGCUGCCAUCACAGUGGCAAACACAGUGGUGCCAAAAGUGCCUUGUGCUGGCAGAACGGGCUUCAGCCCCCACCUCCACUGGCUGCAUUUCUAAAAUUCAAAAUAAAAUUCACACAACGUAAAACUAACCAUUAAUCACUUAAGAUGUACAAUUCAGUGGCAUUGAGUCCAUUCCUGAUGCUGUGUCACCAUCAUCUCUAUCUAGUUCUGAGAUGUUUUUACUCCCAAAGAAAGCCCCAUACCAUUAAGUUGUCACUCCCUGCUACCCCAUCCCCAGGCGCCAGGCAGUCACUAGCCUGCUAUCUAUCUGUGGGACUUGCCUGUUCUGGACAUGUCACAUAAAUGACAUCACAUACUUUGUG